rnacentral:rRNA from 1 species
GACGAAGGAUGCAAGCGUUAUCCGGAUUCAUUGGGUUUAAAGGGAGCGUAGGCGGUCUUGUAAGUCAGUGGUGAAAUCUCGCAGCUUAACUGCGAAACUGCCAUUGAUACUGCUUGACUUGAGUACAGAUGCUGUGGGCGGAAUAUGACAUGUAGUGGUGAAAUACAUAGAGAUGUUAUAGAACACCGAUUGCGAAGGCAGCUCACAAAACUGUAACUGACGCUGAGGCUCGAAAGUGUGGGGAUCAAACAGG